CGGGUGAGUAACGCGUAGACAACCUGCCGUAAAGAUGGGGACAACAGUUCGAAAGGACUGCUAAUACCGAAUGUUGUAGAGUUUCCGCAUGGGAAUCCUACUAAAGGUGGCCUCUACUUGUAAGCUAUCGCUUUACGAUGGGUCUGCGUCUGAUUAGCUAGUUGGUGGGGUAACGGCCUACCAAGGCGACGAUCAGUAGCCGGUCUGAGAGGAUGAACGGCCACAUUGGAACUGAGACACGGUCCAGACUCCUACGGGAGGCAGCAGUGGGGAAUCUUCCGCAAUGGGCGCAAGCCUGACGGAGCAACGCCGCGUGAGUGAAGAAGGGUUUCGACUCGUAAAGCUCUGUUGUCGGGGACGAAUGUCGAGAUGGUGAAUAACCAUUCCGAAUGACGGUACCUGACGAGGAAGCCACGGCUAACUACGUGCCAGCAGCCGCGGUAAUACGUAGGUGGCGAGCGUUGUCCGGAAUUAUUGGGCGUAAAGGGAGCGCAGGCGGGAAGGUAAGUCUAUCUUAAAAGUGCGGGGCUCAACCCCGUGAGGGGAUAGAAACUAUCUUUCUUGAGUGCAGGAGAGGAAAGCGGAAUUCCUAGUGUAGCGGUGAAAUGCGUAGAUAUUAUGAGGAACACCAGUGGCGAAGGCGGCUUUCUGGACUGUAACUGACGCUGAGGCUCGAAAGCGUGGGGAGCGAACAGGAUUAGAUACCCUGGUAGUCCACGCCGUAAACGAUGAAUGCUACGUGUAGGAGGUAUCGACCCCUCCUGUGCCGGAGUUAACGCAAUAAGCAUUCCGCCUGGGGAGUACGGCCGCAAGGCUGAAACUCAAAGGAAUUGACGGGGGCCCGCACAAGCGG
rnacentral:rRNA from 1 species